GCGGGCAUGAUGUAGUGGUAGCGUACGACCUUCCCAAGGUUGAUGUGUGGGUUCGAUUCCCAUUGCCCGCUCCA
rnacentral:tRNA from 1 species